UACGUAGGGGGCUAGCGUUGUCCGGAAUCAUUGGGCGUAAAGCGCGCGUAGGCGGCCCGGUAAGUCCGCUGUAAAAGUCAAAGGCUCAACCUUUGAAUGUCAGUGGAUACUGCCGGGCUAGAGUCCGGAAGAGGCGAGUGGAACUCCUGGUGUAGCGGUGAAAUGCGCAGAUAUCAGGAGGAACACCAGCGGCGAAGGCGGCGCUCUGGGCCGGAACUGACGCUGAGGAGCGAAAGCGUGGGGAGCGAACAGG
rnacentral:rRNA from 1 species